GCACUGGUGGUUCAGUGGUGAAAACGCUCGCCUGUCACCCGGGUGACCCGAGUUCAAUCCCUGUUAAUGCA